GCCCCCAUAGCUUAACCCUAAAGCAUGGCACUGAAGAUGCCAAGACGGUAACCCCACUACCUGAGGGC
rnacentral:tRNA from 1 species